GAUGAACGCUGGCGGCGUGCCUAACACAUGCAAGUCGAACGAAGCACUUUAGCGGAACCUUCGGGGGAAGCUGUUGUGACUGAGUGGCGGACGGGUGAGUAACGCGUGGGUAACCUGCCCUGUACAGGGGGAUAACAGCCGGAAAUGGCUGCUAAUACCGCAUAAGCGCACUGAUGGUAGCAUUACCAGGUGUGAAAAACUCCGGUGGUACAGGAUGGGCCCGCGUCUGAUUAGCUUGUUGGCGGGGUAAGAGCCCACCAAGGCAACGAUCAGUAGCCGGUCUGAGAGGAUGAACGGCCACAUUGGAACUGAGACACGGUCCAA
rnacentral:rRNA from 1 species